rnacentral:lncRNA from 1 species
AUCGGGGUCCCUGCAUGGAGCCUGCUUCUCCCUCUGCCUGUGUCUUUGCCUCUGUGUGUGUGUGUGUGUGUCUCAUGAAUAAAUAAAUAAAAUCUUAAAAAUAAAUAAAUAAAAUUAUGUAAUAAGUGAUUUCUCAUGACAAACAGGGAAAGCAUUAUUUAUUUAUUUAUUUAUUUGUUUAUUUAAUUAUUUAUUUACUGCAGAAUUUUUGUUAAGGAGCCACAAGAGUUGAGGCAGAAAGGAUUUUCUCCCUAAGUGAGCCUUAGUGACAAAAAAUGUAGAGGAGAAGAUUUAUUCUGCUUGAGAAUGAAGAUCAACUGUGUCAUAUUCAUUUCUUAAUUUCUGGCUUCAUAGUUUCAAGGUCAUGCCUUCAACAACAAAGCCUCUUCACCAGAUAAAGAUCACAGGAACCAAGAAUGGAGGAGGAGUAUGGGAAGAACAAGAGAGCUUUAGGAAUUGGUCUGUCUCUGGGCCUUGUCUCCUGCCCCAACCCCCAGAGAGCUUCCGCAUAUCCCUGGAUCUGAGUUUCCCUGGGCUUUUCUGGAGAAAGACAGCAGAGGUGGUGUUGAU